GGAAAAGUACAAGUGUGCAGGAAUAGAAAAGAAGAUGGAAACAACAAUCAUACUCGAACAAAAGCACAACUGACAUUGUACAAGACAAUUCAUCAUUUUAUAGAUGGACAAGAAGGACAAUUACUUUUCAAUUGAAGCAGCACUUAAUGGUAAUAGACUGUAUUUUUUGGAUAAUUUGACAUAAGAAUUCUAAUUGUUAAUAUCAUGUAGAAAAUGCUCAUAAAUGGAAACAAAAAGGGGGAAAUCCUAAUUUGUAUAAAUCUAUGUUGAGACAAGAUUUCUGAAUUAGGUCAAGCAUGAAUCCAACAGGCAACAAAGACUCAUCGAUGUCAAUGGCCAUGUACUUUACAAGAGCAUUAAUAAAGCUGCAUUUCAUUUUCUAUUCCAAACUAAUCAAGUGCAACUUUUGACCAAAAUGAGUGAAAUCAAUCUAUGAAUAAGUGAUAGUUGUAAAAUCGUAAGUGUACAAAAAUAGGGGUGAAACAAGAAAGGAAAAAAGUGUAGAAGCAUUGAAACUUAUGUAACAAGAACUUACUCACUCUAUUAAUCAUCUGCGUG
rnacentral:misc_RNA from 1 species